GAAAUGCGAUAACUAGUGUGAAUUGCAGAAUUCCGUGAAUCAUCGAGUCUUUGAACGCACAUUGCGCCCCCUGGUAUUCCGGGGGGCAUGCCUGUCCGAGCGUCAUUGCUGCCCAUCAAGCACGGCUUGUGUGUUGAGUCGUCGUCCCCUCUCCGGGGGGGACGGGCCCCAAAGGCAGCGGCGGCACCGCGUCCGAUCCUCGAGCGUAUGGGGCUUUGUCACCCGCUCUGUAGGCCCGGCCGGCGCUUGCCGAACGCAAAUCAAUCUUUUUCCAGGUUGACCUCGGAUCAGGUAGGGAUACCCGCUGAACUUAAGC
rnacentral:misc_RNA from 1 species